UACGUAGGGUCCGAGCGUUGUCCGGAAUUAUUGGGCGUAAAAGAGCUCGUAGGCGGUUUGUCGCGUCUGCUGUGAAAGACCGGGGCUCAACUCCGGUUCUGCAGUGGGUACGGGCAGACUAGAGGUGAUGUAGGGGAGACUGGAAUUCUCGGUGUAGCGGUAGAAAUGCGUAGAUAUCGAGAGGAACACCUGCGGCGAAGGCGGGUUGCUGGGCCGACACUGACGCUGAGGCGCGAAAGCCAGGGGAGCAAACGGG
rnacentral:rRNA from 1 species